UACGUAGGGGGCUAGCGUUGUCCGGAUUUAUUGGGCGUAAAGAGCGUGUAGGCGGCCAGGUAGGUCUGCUGUGAAAACUCGAGGCUCAACCUCGAGAUGUCGGCGGAAACCAUCUGGCUAGAGUCCGGAAGAGGAAAGUGGAAUUCCUGGUGUAGCGGUGAAAUGCGCAGAUAUCAGGAAGAACACCCGUGGCGAAGGCGGCUUUCUGGUCUGCUCUUGACGCUGAGGCGCGAAAGCUAGGGUAGCAAACGGG
rnacentral:rRNA from 1 species